rnacentral:rRNA from 1 species
UAUGUGAUCGUCUCUCGCAUAUCAAUAAGCGGAGGAAAAGAAACUAACAAGGAUUCCCCUAGUAACGGCGAGUGAAGCGGGAAGAGCUCAAAUUUGAAAUCUUAAAGGGUUUCCCUUUACGAAUUGUAGUUUAAAGAAGUGUUUUCUGUUGAGGUUUUGGUAAAAGUUCUUUGGAAUAGGACAUCAUAGAGGGUGAGAAUCCCGUAUUUGACCUUUACUUUCAACUUUGUGAUACACUUUCAAAGAGUCGGAUUGUUUGGGAAUGCAGUCCAAAAUGGGUGGUAAAUUUCAUCUAAAGCUAAAUAUUGGCGAGAGACCGAUAGCGAACAAGUACCGUGAGGGAAAGAUGAAAAGAACUUUGAAAAGAGAGUUAAACAGUACGUGAAAUUGUCAAAAGGGAAGCGUUUGACACCAGUGUUGUUUUUCUGAAAAUCAAUUAAAGAACUGUCUAUGCUAAGUUGUUUAGACUUUAUCAGCUAUCUGUUUAGUUUUGAGCUUUUCUUUAAUGCACUUUUCAGUUAACAAGUCAACAUCAAUUUCUUUUGCUGUAAAAAAGCUUGAGGAAGGUGGCUUGAGAUUCGUCUUAAGUGUUUAUAGCCUCUUGCCUAUGCAGUCGGAGAGAUUGAGGUCUGCAGCGUAGAUCCUUCGGGGCUAAAUGCAUUUGUGCUAAGUUAUAGCAUUUUAUAGACAACUUGUUGACUAUGAUUUGUCUUGUAGCUUACUCGCUUAUGUUAUUUUACCUACGCUUAGGAUGUUGAUAUGCAUGACUGAUAU